rnacentral:rRNA from 1 species
AACGCGAAGAACCUUACCAGCUCUUGACAUGUCCAGUAUGGGGAAGGGAGACCUUCUUCUUCAGUUCGGCUGGCUGGAACACAGGUGCUGCAUGGCUGUCGUCAGCUCGUGUCGUGAGAUGUUGGGUUAAGUCCCGCAACGAGCGCAACCCUCACCUUCAGUUGCCAUCAGGUUAAGCUGGGCACUCUGAAGGAACUGCCGGUGACAAGCCGGAGGAAGGCGGGGAUGACGUCAAGUCCUCAUGGCCUUUAUGGGCUGGGCUACACACGUGCUACAAUGGCGGUGACAGAGGGACGCGAAGGGGGCAACCCUUGGCCAAUCUCAAAAAGCCGUCUCAGUUCGGAUUGUUCUCUGCAACUCGAGAGCAUGAAGCUGGAAUCGCUAGUAAUCGCGGAUCAGCACGCCGCGGUGAAUACGUUCCCGGGCCUUGUACACACCGCGUGUCU